rnacentral:rRNA from 1 species
CCUACGGGAGACAGCAGUGAGGAAUAUUGGUCAAUGGCCGGAAGGCUGAACCAGCCAUGCCGCGUGAAGGUCAGUGCCCUAUGGGCGUUAAACUUCUUUUGUGCGGGAGCAAUAAUGGUCACGUGUGGCCAGACGAGAGUACCGUACGAAUAAGCAUCGGCUAACUCCGUGCCAGCAGCCGCGGUAAUACGGGGGAUGCAAGCGUUAUCCGGAUUUAUUGGGUUUAACGGGUGCGUAGGCUGUGAGGUAAGUCAGCGGUGAAAUGCCCCCGCUCAACGGGGUGAAGUGCCAUUGAUACUGCCUGGCUGGAAUGCGGAUGCCGUGGGAGGAAUGUGUGGUGUAGCGGUGAAAUGCAUAGAUAUCACACAGAACACCGAUUGCGAAGGCAUCUCACGAAUCCGCGAUUGACGCUGAUGCACGAAAGCGUGGGUAUCAAACAGGAUUAGAUACCCCUGUAGUC